AGUGGAUGGGGAGCAACCUAUGUUGUGCGUGUGUAAAGGUAGUGCCAAGAAAAGCGAUGAUCAUGUUGAAAAUCAAUUCCCGGUACCCGAAACCGACACAGGUGGGCAAGUAGAGAAUACUAAAGGGGCGAGGUAACUCUCUCCAAGGAACUCGGCAAAAUGACCCCGUAACUUAGGGAGAAGGGGUGCCACCGAGAGGUGGUCGCAGUGAAGAGGCCCAGGCGACUGUUUAGCAAAAACAUAGGUCUCUGCAAACUCGAAAGAGGAGGUAUAGGGGCUGACGCCUGCCCAGUGCCGGAAGGUUAAAGAAGUUGGUCAGUUUUAGGAUGAAGCUAGCGACUGAAGCCCCGGUGAACGGCGGCCGUAACUAUAACGGUCCUAAGGUAGCGAAAUUCCUUGUCGGGUAAGUUCCGACCCGCACGAAAGGCGUAACGAUCUGGGCGCUGUCUCGGAGAGAGGCUCGGCGAAAUAGGAUUGUCUGUGAAGAUACGGACUACCUGCAUUUGGACAGAAAGACCCUAUGAAGCUUUACUAUAGCUUGGAAUUGUGUUCGGGCUUCCUGUGCGCAGGAUAGGUGGGAGGCGUAGAAGGUAUUCUUGUGGGGAUACUGGAGCCAACGGUGAGAUACCACUCUCAGGAGGCUAGAAUUCUAACUUAAUUAAGGACAGUUUCAGGUGGGUAGUUUGACUGGGGCGGUCGCCUCCAAAAAGGUAACGGAGGCGUACAAAGGUUCCCUCAGACUGGUUGGAAAUCAGUCGAAGAGUGCAAAGGCAGAAGGGAGCUUGACUGCGAGAAGUACAGUUCGAGCAGGGUGGAAACACGGUCUUAGUGAUCCGACGGUGCUGUGUGGAAGGGCCGUCGCUCAACGGAUAAAAGUUACUCUAGGAUAACAGGCUGAUCUCCCCCAAGAGUUCACAUCGACGGGGAGGUUUGGCACCUCGAUGUCGGCUCAUCGCAACCUGGGGCGGAAGUACGUCCCAAGGGUUGGGCUGUUCGCCCAUUAAAGCGGUACGUGAGCUGGGUUCAGAACGUCGUGAGACAGUUCGGUCCAUAUCCGAUGUAGGCGUGAGAAUAUUGAGAGGAGCCUUCCUUAGUACGAGAGGACCGGGAAGGACGCACCGCUGGUGUACCUGUUAUGAUGCCAAUUGUAAACGCAGGGUAGCCAAGUGCGGAGAGGAUAACCGCUGAAAGCAUCUAAGUGGGAAGCCCACCUCAAGAUGAGUAUUCUGGUGUAAGGUCACGGGAAGACGACCCGUAAAUAGGCACGAGGUGGAAGUGCAGAGAUGUAUGAAGCCGAAGUGUACUAAUAGACCGUCGGCUUGACC
rnacentral:rRNA from 1 species